rnacentral:rRNA from 1 species
AGAGUUUGAUCAUGGCUCAGAUUGAACGCUGGCGGCAGGCCUAACACAUGCAAGUCGAACGGUAGCAGGAUGUGCUUGCACAUCGCUGACGAGUGGCGGACGGGUGAGUAAUGCUUGGGAACUUGCCUUUGCGAGGGGGAUAACAGUUGGAAACGACUGCUAAUACCGCAUAAUGUCUACGGACCAAGCGGGGCUUAGGCUCCGGCGCAGAGAGAGGCCCAAGUGAGAUUAGCUAGUUGGUGGGGUAAAGGCUCACCAAGGCAACGAUCUCUAGCUGUUCUGAGAGGAAGAUCAGCCACACUGGGACUGAGACACGGCCCAGACUCCUACGGGAGGCAGCAGUGGGGAAUAUUGCACAAUGGGGGAAACCCUGAUGCAGCCAUGCCGCGUGUGUGAAGAAGGCCUUCGGGUUGUAAAGCACUUUCAGUUGUGAGGAAAAGUUAGUAGUUAAUACCUGCUAGCCGUGACGUUAACAACAGAAGAAGCACCGGCUAACUCCGUGCCAGCAGCCGCGGUAAUACGGAGGGUGCGAGCGUUAAUCGGAAUUACUGGGCGUAAAGCGCACGCAGGCGGUUUGUUAAGCUAGAUGUGAAAGCCCCGGGCUCAACCUGGGAUGGUCAUUUAGAACUGGCAGACUAGAGUCUUGGAGA